AGAAUCAACGCUGGCGGCGUGCCUAACACAUGCAAGUCGAACGAGAAAGUGGAGCAAUCCAUGAGUAAAGUGGCGCACGGGUGAGUAACACGUGACUAACCUACCUUUAGUGGGGGAUAACCUAGGGAAACCUGGGCUAAUACCGCAUAAUACUUACGAGUCAAAGCAGCAAUGCGCUGAAAGAGGGGGUCGCGGUCGAUUAGUUAGUUGGCAGGGUAAUGGCCUACCAAGACUGUGAUCGAUA
rnacentral:rRNA from 1 species